AUGCCACAGAGUUCGUCCUCUGCUUGCUGUCUCCGGACAGCUCCACGACGGCUGCCAUUGAUCUUCUGGCCAAGGUGCCCCCGGACCAAGAGAAGGUGGUUUCUGUCCGGGACAGACCGGAACCCGGGGCAUCCGGUUUUACAAACGCCUGAACCAGGCAUCUGUUGGGCUCUUUCUCUCGAGUUGAUUAGGCGUUGUUGCCUGUUUGUCUCUGCACAUGGGCCGUGCCGUGUUUCUGGGCCUGAUGUCACCCCAUCCCCUGCUUCUCCGCCGCCGCCUCUUUCUCCACCAAAUCCACAUCGCCGCCGUGCUCGUUGCCGGGACAGGCAGGAGGUGGAGGCGAGGGAGAUAGGGGGGUCAACUGGGCGGCGCCGCAUAGCACUGUACGAGGUGGCUAGAAGAGGGCGGCGCGGCAGGGUAAAUCCCCUUUCACUGCGGAGCAGUCCACGGUGCCUUCACCGUCGUCCUCACCUUCGAGCCGCCCGUGAUGCCAUCGCCAUCGCCAAGCCCCGUUUGUGCGGUACACAUAGAUGGAUGAGGAUGCCGGUAGCAAGCAGUAGCACCGAUGCCAAGCGAGAAGAGACCUCUAGCUCGACUUGUGGCGGCGGCGGGUACUACUGGAGCAUAGGCGCCUUUCAUUUUUCGUCCUCUUUGUUGGUGGGAAGGCGCAGCAGGUCGGAGGAGGAAGCCACGAGAACUUGGAGAGAGAGAGGAGAUGCGGAAGGGCGACGAUCUGUGUGGGACGACCCGGCGCUCGUGGAUGCCUUGGACCACGCCGUCACUAGCUACAAGCUAAUCCUUUGCAACAAUUUGAUAAGAUUCUUAAAUCAAUGGCGUGGCCUCUAUUUGAUGAGCUGGGGCUGCUAUAAAACCGAGAAGAAGACAAGGAGGAUUAGUUGCAUUUUUGGUACUAGAUUUGAAGAUUCUGGUGAUGAGAUAGAUUGCAGCAGUACACCCUAUCACAUGAUGGAGAAAAGGAGCCUAGAGAAGAACAUUCGGCUUGAGCUGGAACAUGAGUUCAGUUGUGAGAAGCGUUGCACUCUCCUCUCUGACCAGCGAGCUCUGCUGUACUGCUGCUCCGGCUGA
rnacentral:rRNA from 1 species